GGGAUUCGAACCCAUGACCUCUGACUCACAAGCUCGGGCUCUUUCAACUGACCCACGCCGCUGCUCAGUAGAAGGUGGGCUCUCCGUAAAUUGGUAGCUUGGGAUGAAGGGUGGUGGUUUAGUUUUGCCACACUCCACCGGAGUCCCAAAGAAUAUACUAGGCAUUGUAAUUCAAGUUUUUUCAAACACUUAUUUUCUUAUCCCUUUAUCGCUGACUGGUUUAUUGCCUGGAGAACAAGGUUUGGUUUAGGUUGCCAGUGAAAAGUCUUUGAUUAUUUCUAGGGCUAUCCAGUCUUUGGGCUUAUUGUCAGCCUUUAGUUGCCCUUUCCUGCCUCUUCAGUGACAUCUGAAAGUCCCUCAUUCAUGAAUUUUGAGUGAAUUUUAGUGUACUUCUGUGUUCCUGAACUCUAACUGUUUUCUCUACAGAUCGAGGAAGUCCCCCGCUGAAUUAGAGAGACAAAAAUGAACACUUACAAAUGAGGGACCCUGAGAAGGGAUUUCAUAUUUCUACGAUAAAAGUUCCGCUGUCCUUGUCUGCUCCCUUGGAUUUGCCAGCAUUGUCUUUCAAGUAUAUCACUGGACCAUCCAUCAGAUCUCUCAGGACCAGGAAGUCAUAGUGCUGAGACAGCGGACUGCCGGGCUGGCACCUGGCGUUGGCACAGAACUCGGUGGACUUGUUAUUUUCAUUUUUGGAAAGCAUUUCAAAGAACCUCUUGCUGCCUUUAAAUAUGAAGUCAGGUUUAAUUAUUUAAAUAGAUGAUUACUGUUAUACAAGAAAUGUCCAGUGGAGACUGCCGAAAGUAAACCUCUCUACUCCGGGGUGAGCUCAGCUCGGAUCUCGACGGCAUCGCUGGAACAAUGCUUACGUUAGUCCUUAACGUGAGCGGUUAAAAACUC